GAGAGAGGCACGCCCGCAAUGAAAACUGCUAAUUUUUACCACCUUGGUUGAACCCCAAGGCUCACUCA
rnacentral:tRNA from 1 species